rnacentral:rRNA from 1 species
GGGCGCAGCCUGAUGCAGCCAUGCCGCGUGUGUGAAGAAGGCCUUCGGGUUGUAAAGCACUUUCAGUCGCUGAGGAAGGCGGUGUAGUUAAUAGCUGCAUCGUUUGACGUUAGCGACAGAAGAAGCACCGGCUAACUCCGUG